AGAUAAGCCACUGUUUUUAUUUUAAUUACAAAAUUACCACCAUUUCAUAGAUUAGAAAGAAAAACAUUGAAUUUGAUUAUGGUUACAACAUUGCCACCUACAUGCAUGAUUCUACUUGUCACCGCAGAGUAACACAACAUGUCCCACAGCUCGAAUGGAUGACUUCUUAAAACUCCAAGGGUCUACAUUUUAAAGCUCAAAUUGUUGACUUCUUACAGCUUGGAUGGCCAACUUUUUGAAGCUCAAAGGGCCGACUUCUUGAAGCUUAGAUAGCCAACUUCUCCAUUGGUUGGAUGACUUCUUCUAUGCAAUGCAAACUUGAAUGAAUGACUCAGCAAGACUAGCCGGCUGUAGUCGUCAUGAUCCAUGCAUUUAUCAAAGCUCAUGGUGGUGUUACGUUCAGCUUGGUAUCAUAUUGCAUAUAGAGUAGAUGGAUUGUGUAAAAAGAAUUGGACCCAAUAAGUAGGGAAAACCCCGUAUGAACUCG
rnacentral:misc_RNA from 1 species